ensembl:lncRNA
GCUGUGCUAUCAUACCAUCUGUGUUCAGGCACAGCUCUCCUCCUAUUGCUUCCUAAAGCAAUAAGGAUAAAAAAUAAAAACAGAUAUGAUGGAGAAGCACGGUGUGUUGGAAUACACCAUGAGCCUGAGCCUUACCAUGCUUGUUACGGAAACGGCCUCCUCUGUAGCUGCAUACUGCAACAAAGCAUCCCCAGGGAAAUAAAAAUGAAGGUUACAUUCUCCUUCAUGUUUAGAUCAGUGAUCUCCUCACCUGUCCCGGCCAGCAAAGCCUGGUGAGCCCUGCUCUGCCCCAUACCGUUCUGAACACUGCUUUGUUCAGCUCCUUUCUCAAACAUCCCAGCAACGUUCCACGUGCGAGUGAGUGAAAUUCUUUAAAUGUUGGAGUAGAUGGAAGGCACCAGAACAGUUGGGGGGGGGAUAACCCCAGUGUUAAAUCAGCAUCUAAGGACAAAACAGGGAUGAAAAUGCACCCCGUGACAAACCUCAGCGUGUAUCUUAGGCCAGUAAGAGGUCCAUGAGCCAGCGCUAUAGGUAAAACUUCACUGUAUGAACGUAAGAGUCCUCUACAUUGCACAAUUUUAAAGGUCAAUGAAAGUCCUAUUGUUAAGGAAUCAGUUGUGUAAUGCAGAGCUUAAUACAGAGCCUUUCUGACAUUUAGUCGAAAUGCAGGACCGUUGUUUUUAAGAUUCAGAAAGAAAAUCCCCAUCCUGGCCACUCGGUCAUACUUUCGGUCUGCAGAACUCUGCCAGUGCAGAGGGAAAGGAACGGAGCAGCGUGCCAACGGCAGGCAGGGAACCCGCACACACUGCACUCCAGUAGAGCUCCAGCCCAGCCCUGUCCAGCUACUUGUCGAGAACACAAGCAUGCUCACAACUUCCUCUUGCUUUCCGAGAAUCACCUCGCUCCUCCUAUGCUAUUCCCACACGCUGCCCUACCGAGAGAUUUUGUGGACUCUGCCUACAUAAACACACGUCUGUCCCGCACCGGUCGUUCGCGUGUCCAGUGAAGCACACGCCUGUGAGCCUGGCAGGGGCAGCGGGGAGAGCUCCACAGCUGAGAUGCGGCAAUCGCCCACGUGACGGCCGUGUAAGGCUCCGUGUCACAUCUUGCACUGAGAAGGAGUAGGGUGGAGUGCUCGCUGGAAUCUCCAUAAAUAUGAGAGCCUGGAGGGAGAUCAUGAGAGGGAACCUCUCUCUUCGAGCGGAGGUACUUCUGCGCCGUGACGGCUUCAGUGCGGCUCUCUGAGGGGAAACCUCCCCGACCCCUCCAUUGUCACCGACCACGCUGUGGAAGCAGACGGGGAGGCUCUCCCCACAGCACCGCGGCCUGCCGGCCUCGCACCCCGCGCCGCUCCCCGCACGGCCGGCC